rnacentral:lncRNA from 1 species
AGCAGCCUCAGGAGUGGCAGGGAAACAGAACUGGAGGAACUGUGUCUUCUGUCACCCAAAGGACAGUCAUGGGAAAUAAUCUGCAAAGCUGGAUGACACAAAGCCUGUGACACGUAGCAGUGGACUUGGACCAGACUUCUCAGCACACCCAUGAACCACUGAAUGCUUGGGAGCAGAGAAACAGACGUUUUUGACAAUGAACUGGAGGUGCAGUGAUUAGAACCGGGAAGGAACAGAGUCCGUGAGGUCAGAAACAUCAGCACUGCUGGAGACGGCCGGGUCUCCUGUCUACCCCCUACUGGCCCUCCAGGCUGCCCUUGGAGUUCAGCUGGUCCCCAGCUGUCCCUGCUUCCUGCCUCCCUGGCAGCCACAUCCCUGGUCCACCUCCGCCGGGCGGGCGAGGACCAGGACAGACAGUGGCUCCUCCUUUUGGAUCCUCAUCCCUGUGGCUUUCUGUUCUUCCGG